GAUAAAAUAUUUGCAAAUGAAUCAAUGGACAAGGGAUUAAUCUCCAAAAUAUAUAAACAGGUCAUGCAACUCAAUAUUAAAAAAAACAAACAACCCAAUCCAAAAUAGGUAAAAGACCUAAAUAGACAUUUCUCCAAAGAAGACAUACAGGUGGCCAAGAAGCACAUGAAAAGCUGCUCAACAUCACUAAUUAUUAGAGAAAUGCAAAUCAAAAGUACAGUGAGGUAUCACAUCCACCAGUUAGAAUGGGCAUCCUCAGAAAAUCUACAAACAACAGAGCUGGAGAGGUUGUGGAGAAAAGGGAACCCUCUUGCACUGUUGGUGGGAAUGUAAAUGGAUACAGCCACUAUGGAGAACAGUACGUAGGUUCCUUAAAAAACUAAAAAUAGAAUUACCAUAUGAUCCAGCAAUCCCACUACUGGGCAUAUACCCAGAUAAAACCGUAAUUCAAAAAGAGUCAUGCACCCCAGUGUUCACUGCAGCACUAUUUACAAUAGCCAGGUCAUGAAAGCAACCUAAAUGCCCAUUGACAGACGAAUGGAUAAAGAAGAUGUGGUACAUAUAUACAAUGGAAUAUUACUGAGCCAUAAAAAGGAACGAAAUUGGGUCAUUUGUUGAGACGUGGAUGGCUCUAGAGACUGUCAUACAGAGUGAAGUAAGUCAGAAAGAGAAAAACAAAUAUCGUAUAUUAACGCAUGUAUGUGAACCUAGAAAAAUGGUACAGAUGAACCAGUUUGCAGGGCAGAAGUUGAGACACAAAUGUCGAGAACAAACGUAUGGACACCAAGGGGGGAAAGCCGUUGGGGGGUGGGGAUGGUGGUGUGCUGAAUUGGGCGAUUGGGAUUGACAUGUAUACACUGAUGUGUAUAAAAUUGAUGACUAAUAAGAGCCUGCUGUAUAAAAAAAUAAAUUAAAUUUAAAAAUUUUUAAAAAAAGAAUGAUGUUGGCUGUGGGUUUGUCAUAUGUGUUCUCUAUUAUGUUGAGGUAGGUUCCCUCUAUGCCCACUUUCUGGAGAGUUUUUAUCAUAAAUGGGUGUUGAAUUUUGUCAAAAGCUGUUUCUGCACCUAUUGAGAUUAUCAUAUGGUUUUUAUCCUUCAGCUUGUUAGUAUGGUGUAUCCAUUAAUUGAUUUGCGUAUAUUGAAGAAUCCUUGCAUUCCUGGAAUAAACCCCACUUGAUCAUGGUGUAUGAUCCUUUUAACGUGCUGUUGGAUUCUGCUGGCUAGUAUUUUGUUGAGGAUUUUUGUAUCUAUGUUCAUCAGUGAUAUUGGCCUGUAAUUUUCUUUUUUUGUGACAUCUUUGUCUGGUUUUGGUAUCGGUGAUGGUGGCCUCAUGCAAUGAGUUUGGGAGUGUUCCUACCUCUGCUGUAUUUUGGAAGAGUUUGAGAAGGAUAGUUGUUAGCUCUUCUAUAAAUGCUUGAUAGAAUUCUCCCGUGAAGCCAUCUGGCCCUGGGCUUUUCCCUGUUGGAAGAUUUUUAAUCACAGUUUCAACUUCACUGCUUGUGAUUGAUCUGUUCAUAUUUUCUGUUUCUUCCUGGUUCAUUCUCAGAAGGUUGUGCAUUUCUAAGAAUUUGUUUCUUCCAGGUUGUCCAUUUUACUGGCAUAUAGCUGCUUAUAGUAGUCUCUCAUGAUUCUUUGUAUUUAUGAUGUAUCACUUGUUAGUUCUACUUUUUCAUUUCUAAUUCUGUUGAUUUGAGUCCUCUCCCUUUUUUUUCCUGAUGAGUCUGGCUAAUGGUUUAUCAAUUUUUUUAAUUUUCUCAAAGAACCAGCUAUUAGUUUUAUUGAUCUUUGCUAUUGUUUCCUUCAUUUCUUUUUCAUUUAUUUCCAAUCUGAUCUUUAUGAUUUCUUUCCUUUUGCUAGCUUUGGGUUUUUUUGUUCUUUUUUCUCUAAUUGCUUUAGGUGUAAGGUUAGGUAUUUGAGAUUUUUCUUGUUUCUUGAGGUAGGAUUGGGUUGCUAUAAACUUCCCUCUUAGACUGCUUUUGCUGCAUCCCAUAGGUUUUUGGUUGCCAUGUUUUCAUUGUCAUUUGUUUCUGAGUAUUUUUUGAUUUCCUCUUUAAUUUCUCAGUGAUCUCUUGGUUAUUUAGUAGUGUGUUGUUUAGCCUCAAUGUGUUUGUAUUUUUUACAGUUUUUUUUCCUGUAAUUGAUAUCUAGUCUCAUAACGCUGUGGUCGGAAAAGUUGCUUAUACGAUUUCAAUUUUCUUAAAUUUCCCAAGGCUUGAUAUGUGACCCAAGAUGUGAUCUAUCCUGGAGAAUGUUCCAUGUGCACUUGAGAAGAAAGUGUAUUCUGUUGUAGUUGAAUGGAAUGUCCUGUAAAUAUCAAUUAAGUCCAUCUGGUCUAAUGUGUCAUUUAAAGCUUGUGUUUCCUUAUUUAUUUUCUGUUUGGAUGAUCUGUCCUUUGGUGUAAGUGGGGUGUUAAAGUCUCCCACUAUUAUUGUGUUAAUGUUGAUUUCUGCUUUUAUGGCUGUUAGCGUUUGCCUUAUGUAUUGAGGUGCUCCUAUGUUGGGUGCAUAAGUAUUUAUAGUUGUUAUGUCUUCUUGGAUUGAUCCCUUGAUCAUUAUGUACUGUCCUUCCUUGUCUCGUGUAAGUCUUUAUUUUAAAGUGUAUUUUGUCUGAUAUGAGUAUUGCUACUCCAGCUUUCUUUUGAUUUCCAUUUGGUUGGAAUAUCUUUUUCCAUCCCCUCACUUUCAGUCUGUAUGUGUCCCUAGGUCUGAAGUGGGUCUCUUGUAGACAGCAUAUAGAUGGGUCUUGUUUGUGUAUCCAUUCAGCCAGUCUGUGUCUUUUGGUUGGAGCAUUUUAUCCAUUCACAUUUAAGGUAAUUAUCAAUAUGUAUGUUCCUAUUACCUUUUUCUUAAUUGUUUUGGGUUUGUUUUUGUAGGUCCUUUCCUUCGCUUGUGUUUCCUACUUAGAGAAGUUCCUUUAGCAUCUGUUGUAGAGCUGGUUUGGUGGUGCUGAAUUCACGUAGCUUUUGCUUGUCUGUAAAGCUUUUGAUUUCUCCAUUGAAUCUGAAUGAGAUCCAUGCUGGGUAGAGUAAUCUUGGUUGUAGGUUUUUCCCUUUCAUCAUUUUAAAUAUGUCCUGCCACUCCAUUCUGGCCUGCAGAGUUUCUGCUGAAAGAGCAGCUGUUAACCUUAUGGGGAUUCCCUUGUAUGUUAUUUAUUGUUUUUCCCUUGCUGAUUUUCAUAUUUUUUUGUAGAUAGUUCCAUUAAUGAGUGUCUCGGUGUGUUUCUCCUUGGGUUUAUCCUAUAUGAGACUCUCUGCAUUCUCCAGACUUGAUUGACUAUUUCCUUUCCCAUAUUAGGGAAAUUUUCCUCUAUAAUCUCUUCAAAUAUUUUCUCAAACCCUUUUUUUUUCUCUUCUUCUGGGACCACUAUAAUUCGAAUGUUGGUGUGUUUAAUGUUGUCCCAGGGAUCUCUGAGACUGUCCUCAGUUCUUUUCAUUCUUUUUUCUUUAUUCUGCUCAGUGGUAUUUAUUUCCAAUAUUUUAUCUUCCAGAUCUUAUCCAUUCUUCUGCCCCAGUUAUUCUGCUAUUGAUUCCUUCUAGAGAAUUUUUAAUUUCAUUUAUUGUGCUGUUCAUCACUGUUUGUUUGCUCUUUAGUUCCUUUACGUCCUUGUUAAACGUUUCUUGUAUUUUCUCCAUUCUGUUUCUGAGAUUGUGGAUCAUCUUUACUAUCAUUACUCUGAAGUCUUUCUCAGGUAGGCUGCCUGUCUGCUCUUCAUUUGUUUGGUCUUGUUGGAUUUUACCUUGCUUCUUCAUCUGCUGCAUAUUUCUCUGUCUUCUCAUUUUAUUUAACUUACUGUGUUUGAGGUCAGAAAGCAGGCUGCAGGAUCAUAGUUCCUCUUACUUCUCUCACCCGGUGGGUGAGGUUGGUCCAGUGGCUUGUGUAGGCUUCCUGGUGGAGGGGACUGGUUCCUGUGUUCUGGGGGGUGGGGAUGGAUCUUGUCCCUCUGAUGGUCAGGGCCACGUCAGGUGGUGUGUUUUCAGGUGUCUGUGAGCUUAGUAAGACUUCAGGCAGCCUGACUGCUAAUGGGUGGGGUUGUGUUCCUGUCUUGCUAGUUGUUUGCAUGAGGGGUCCAGCACUGGAAUAUGCUGGCCCUUGGGUGGAGCUGGGUUUUAGUGUUGGGAUGGAGACCUCUGGGAGAGCUCUCACCGAUUCAUAUUACAUGGGCCCAGGAGUUCUCUGGUGGUCCAAUGUCCUGGACUCAGCUCUCCCACCUCAGAGGCUCAGGCCUGUCCCCCAGCUGGAGCACCAAGACCUUGCAAGCCACACGGCAUGGAAGAAAAGGAAGAAGAAACAAACAAACAAAGAGACAAAACCCCAAGACAAAUGGUAAAAGCAAAACUAAACAGACAAAAUCACAUGAAGAAACAUACACACACGCACUCACGAAAAGAAAAGAAAAAAAGAGAUGAAGAAGAGGAGAGCAACCAAACCAAUAAACAAUCUCAAAAACUAAAACAAACACUAAAAAGUAAACUAAUAAAUACACAGAACCAGGAACAAAUCAAAUGCAGAAAGCAAACUAAAAAAAGGCAAUGAAAGCAUAAAGCAAACACACAAAAACGAUAAAAAAAUGUAAAGACGAAAGAUGAAAACAAAAGGAAAAAAUACAAAACAAAGUAGUAAAGUAAAAAUAGAUAAUAUAGUUUAAAAUAAAAUGAAAACAAAGCAAAACAAAGAAAGAAACAAACACAAGAAAAAACACAAUAUAACAAAAAAGUACAGUAGAAAGAAGAAAAAAAUUAAAA